rnacentral:misc_RNA from 1 species
CACUGAUAAGCCCAGCGGCGACGAAAACCACUUUGCCGAUCGAUCCAGCGAUACAUCAAACGCACCGGGCGGUCGCCGCCCGAAUCCCAACCCGUAGAACCCGUAUUGCGCAUCACAACCGUUACGCUGAGACGUUCGUUGGGCGCCAUCACGGCAGGCGUGCCAUCGACUUCGAUAACCGCUGCAUCGCCAGUGCGCGGCGUCUGGGCUGGUGCCGCUUGAUUGGUAGCCGGAGGUUUGGGCACCACGCGCGGCUGCGACGGAGUG